UGCUUGAGUCAGCGGCAUCUGACUGCUGCUUCCGGGUGUCCCGCGGCUGUUGGGGCGUCUGCCUGUUUGUCUGGGUGUCCGUCUGGCUGUCCUCCUGUCUGUCCGUUCACGUGGCUGUCUGUCAUUUGGGGAGUCCAGCGGUCAGGGCAUCCAUCUCCCUCUUGGGGUGCCAACCCGUCUGUCCAUCCGUCCAUCGCUCUCCCCACCGCCUUCCCAACACCAUGUACACGGCCCUCCCCAAAAGCGGUUCCCCCUUCGGCCCCGCGCCCACCCGCCCUGGGCUGCACAUCUGGCGCGUGGAGAAGCUGCG